UACGAAGGGGGCUAGCGUUGCUCGGAAUCACUGGGCGUAAAGGGCGCGUAGGCGGACUCUUAAGUCGGGGGUGAAAGCCCAGGGCUCAACCCUGGAAUUGCCUUCGAUACUGAGAGUCUUGAGUUCGGAAGAGGUUGGUGGAACUGCGAGUGUAGAGGUGAAAUUCGUAGAUAUUAGCUAGAACACCAGUGGCGAAGGGCGGCCAACUGGUCCGGUACUGACGCUGAGGUGGCGAAAAGCGU
rnacentral:rRNA from 1 species